rnacentral:rRNA from 1 species
GUGGGGAAUAUUGGACAAUGGGCGAAAGCCUGAUCCAGCAAUGCCGCGUGAGUGAAGAAGGCCUUAGGGUUGUAAAGCUCUUUUACCCGGGAUGAUAAUGACAGUACCGGGAGAAUAAGCUCCGGCUAACUCCGUGCCAGCAGCCGCGGUAAUACGGAGGGAGCUAGCGUUGUUCGGAAUCACUGGGCGUAAAGCGCACGUAGGCGGCUUUGUAAGUUAGAGGUGAAAGCCCGGGGCUGAACUCCGGAACUGCCUUUAAGACUGCAUCGCUUGAAUCUGGGAGAGGUGAGUGGAAUUCCGAGUGUAGAGGUGAAAUUCGUAGAUAGUCGGAAGAACACCAGUGGCGAAGGCGACUCACUGGCCCAAUACUGACGCUGAGGCGCGAAAGCGUGGGGAGCAAACAGGAUUAGAAACCCUGGUAGUCC